UUAAAGGGUGCGCAGGCGGGCCUUUAAGUCAGCGGUGAAAUCUCGGGGCUUAACUCCGAAACUGCCGUUGAAACUGGGAGUCUUGAGUAUGGAUGAAGUAGGCGGAAUUCGUUGUGUAGCGGUGACAUGCUUAGAUAUAACGAGGAACUCCGAUUGCGUAGGCAGCUUACUAAGCCAUAACUGACGCUCAAGCACGAAAGCGUGGGGAUCAAACAGGAUUUGAUACCCUGGUAGUCCACGCCGUAAACGAUGAUUACUAGUUGUAUGCGAUAUACCGUAUGUGACUAAGCGAAAGCGAUAAGUAAUCCACCUGGGGAGUACGCCGGCAACGGUGAAACUCAAAGGAAUUGACGGGGGCCCGCACAAGCGGAGGAACAUGUGGUUUAAUUCGAUGAUACGCGAGGAACCUUACCCGGGCUUGAAAUGUACAUGAAUUACGUUGAAAGAUGUAAGCCAGCAAUGGCAUGUAUGUAGGUGCUGCAUGGUUGUCGUCAGCUCGUGCCGUGAGGUGUCGGCUUAAGUGCCAUAAUGAGCGCAACCCACAUUGUUAGUUACUAACAGGUUAAGCUGAGGACUCUAACAAGACUGCCGUCGUAAGAUGCGAGGAAGGUGUGGAUGACGUCAAAUCAGCACGGCCCUUACGUCCGGGGCGACACACGUGUUACAAUGGGUGGUACAAAGGGCAGCUACUUGGUGACAAGAUGCUAAUCUCCAAAGCCACUCCCAGUUCGGAUCGGAGUCUGCAACUCGACUCCGUGAAGCUGGAUUCGCUAGUAAUCGCGCAUCAGCCAUGGCGCGGUGAAUACGUUCCCGGGCCUUGUACACACCGCCCGU
rnacentral:rRNA from 1 species